rnacentral:rRNA from 1 species
GGAAGUAAAAGUCGUAACAAGGUCUCCGUAGGUGAACCUGCGGAGGGAUCAUUACAGAGUUCGUGCCCUCGCGGGUAGAUCUCCCACCCUUGUGUAUUCUCUACAUUUUGUUGCUUUGGCAGGCCGUUGGUUCGCCAACCACCGGCUCUCGCGGGCUGGUGCGUGCCUGCCAGAGGACCCCUCAAACUCGGUUUGUCAGUGUCGUCUGAGUACCAUAACAAUCGUUAAAACUUUCAACAACGGAUCUCUUGGUUCUGGCAUCGAUGAAGAACGCAGCGAAAUGCGAUAAGUAAUGUGAAUUGCAGAAUUCAGUGAAUCAUCGAAUCUUUGAACGCACAUUGCGCCCCUUGGUAUUCCGAGGGGCAUGCCUGUUCGAGCGUCAUUUCAACCCCUCAAGCUCAGCUUGGUGUUGGGCUGCGCCAGCGUGCUGGCGGGCCUUAAAAUCAGUGGCGGUGCCGUUUGGGCUCCAAGCGUAGUAGCAUCUCUCGCUCUGGAGACCCGGCGGUUGCCUGCCAGACAAUCACUAAAAAAACAAAGGUUUGACCUCGGAUCAGGUAGGGAUACCCGCUGAACUUAAGCAUAUCAAUAAGCGGAGGA